rnacentral:rRNA from 1 species
GACGAACGCUGGCGGCGUGCUUAACACAUGCAAGUCGAACGGAAAGGCCCUGCUUUUGUGGGGUGCUCGAGUGGCGCACGGGUGAGUAACACGUGAGUAACCUGCCCUUGACUUUGGGAUAUCUUCAGGAAACUGGGGCUAAUACCGGAGAGGAGCUCCUGCUGCAUGGUGGGGGUUGGAAAGUUUCGGCGGUUGGGUAUGGACUCGCAGCUUAUCAGCUUGUUGGUGAGGUAGUGGCUUACCAAGGCUUUGACGGAUAGCCGGCCUGAGAGGGUGACCGGCCUCAUGAGUACUAAGGUACGGCCCAGUCUCGUACGGGAGGCAGCAGUGGGGAAUAUUGCAGAAUGGGCGGAAGCCAGAUGCGACAAUGCCGGGUGCGGGAUGAUGGCUUUCGGGUUGUAAACCACUGUCGCCUGUAAUGAAGAGUGAGUGACGGUAAUGGAUAAAGAAGCACCGGCUAACUACGUG